rnacentral:lncRNA from 1 species
GCUACGCUUUUGCUUCAUGGGAAAAGCCUGCUCGCUCUGACAACGUUUUCAAGUUCCCAGCUCGGACCCAGGCUGGCUGUGCGUGGCACGUGCCUAUGAGUGACGCCCAGCUGUUGUUGUUGACGGCAGCACAGCGGCGCAGCCAGGCAGGCUGCAUCCCAAGAAGCCUUAAAAGCAUCAUCUGGUAAAAUUUCCUGAAAGGAAAUGGCGUCUGUUCUCCAGGGGUGGCAUCCGCUGGAGUCGUAGUCUCGAAGUGCCCUUAAUUCAUACGCCCACUUCGCAUCCCUCUUUCCUCGACAUUGCCCAAAAUACAAGCAAUUCCGGUUAUUUCAUCGUUACUACCAUACUCCUUUGCAAGCAACUGUGGGGACACGGUAGCGCUGAGGGAUUUCCUGCAGACGACGUCGUCACCCC